rnacentral:rRNA from 1 species
UACAGAGGGGGCAAGCGUUAUUCGGAAUUAUUGGGCGUAAAGGGCGCGUAGGCGGCAUGGCAAGUGGAUGGUGAAAUCCCUCGGCUUAACCGAGGAACUGCCGUCCAAACUGCUUCGCUUGAGACCGGGAGAGGUGAGUGGAAUUCCCAGUGUAGCGGUGAAAUGCGUAGAUAUUGGGAGGAACACCAGUGGCGAAGGCGGCUCACUGGACCGGUACUGACGCUGAGGAGCGAAAGCGUGGGGAGCAAACAGG